CUGGUCAUCUUUGCAGUGAUCAGGACAGGUACAGCACAGGCAGCAACAGGGCAAGCUUUCCCCACACCACCCCGUCCAUGUGCCUCACUCUGGCCUGGCAGGACCACCUCUGGAGGAUAUUCAAGGACAGUAUGCCAUUCCACAGCCAGA
rnacentral:sRNA from 1 species